AGUAUAAUAUUUUAAUAGAAAAAGUUAGGUUUGCAACUUAAAAUUGAAGG
rnacentral:tRNA from 1 species